GUGGAUUGGUUGACGAGUUUGUAAACACUCCCAGGUUAAGCGUGCUUAGGUGAGAGUAGUACCAGGAUAGGUGCCUUCCUAGGAAGUCUCACCAAAUCCAUC
rfam:Cephalotus follicularis DNA, scaffold: scaffold8641, isolate: St1.